rnacentral:rRNA from 1 species
CGCGGCCUAUCAGCUUGUUGGCGAGGUAAAGGCUCACCAAGGCAUUGACGGGUAGCUGGUCUGAGAGGACGGUCAGCCACACUGGGACUGAGACACGGCCCAGACUCCUGCGGGAGGCAGCAGUGGGGAAUCUUGCGCAAUGGGCGAAAGCCUGACGCAGCAACGCCGCGUGGAGGAUGAAGGCUCUCGGGUUGUAAACCCCUUUCAGCAGGGACGAAAUUGACGGUACCUGUAGAAGAAGCCCCGGCCAACUACGUGCCAGCAGCCGCGGUAACACGUAGGGGGCGAGCGUUGUCCGGAAUUAUUGGGCGUAAAGGGCUCGUAGGCGGUUCGGUAAGUCAGAUGUGAAAGGUUGGGGCUCAACCCUAAGACUGCAUUUGAUACUGCCGUGACUAGAGUCCGGUAGAGGAGUGUGGAAUUCCUGGUGUAGCGGUGAAAUGCGCAGAUAUCAGGAGGAACACCGACGGCGAAGGCAGCACUCUGGGCCGGUACUGACGCUGAGGAGCGAAAGCGUGGGUAGCAAGCAGGAUUAGAUACCCUGGUAGUCCACGCCGUAAACGUUGGGCACUAGGUGUGGGACCUUAUCAACGGGUUCCGUGCCGUAGCUAACGCAUUAAGUGCCCCGCCUGGGGAGUACGG